rnacentral:misc_RNA from 1 species
AACCAUAGAAACCUGCGGAGUACCUGCGGAGGGAUCAUUACAGAGUUGCAAAACUCCCUAAACCAUUGUGAACGUUACCUAAACCGUUGCUUCGGCGGGCGGCCCGGGUCCUUCCCGGCGCCCCUCGGCCCUCGCGGGCGCCCGCCGGAGGUAAACCAAACUAUUGCAUUGUAUGGCCUCUCUGAGUCUUCUGUACUGAAUAAGUCAAAACUUUUAACAAUGGAUCUCAGAUCGGAAGAG